UCCGGAGGAGGCGAUCGUUGUUCGGAAUCACUGGGCUUAAAGGGCGUGUAGGCGGGGUGCAGGGUGUCUUGUGAAAUCCCCCGGCUUAACCGGGGAACGGCUGGGCAAACCGGCACUCUUGAGGCAGGCAGGGGCGACUGGAACCUUUGGUGGAGAGGUGAAAUUCGUAGAUAUCAAAGGGAACACCGAUGGCGAAGGCGAGUCGCUGGGCCUGUCCUGACGCUGAGGCGCGAAAGCGUAGGGAGAGAACGGG
rnacentral:rRNA from 1 species